UUCUGUGUGGUUAUUUGGUUCUCUAUUGUUAAAUGUAGGUGAAUUCAACAGUAAGUAGACAAAGUUGGCUUUAAGGGAUCCUGGCAAGUGCGUGAUGAAGAGUACAAGAUCUGCAGCAUCCCGAGAAAAUACGUGUAUCAGAUGCGGAGAAACAACUCAUCCGUAUUGCGAUGUGAAAUCCAAUGGGUAUUCUGUGCCAACUAAAAACCGUCACGAUAUGCGAUUAGUUUAUGAGACUAGCCAGUCGCAGAACUUGGCAACACAAUUACUUUAUUGCACUGGCGCCCAAUAUACAAUAGAAGGUUUUGUACGUUCCUACAUUUGUUUUUGGAGGCAAAGUGGCAAGUGUGGAGCUGUCGUCCCAUUCAUUACAUCAACUGAUCAAAAUGAAACAAUUCGAAUCUGUGAAUCGUGUGCAUAUUGGUGUGGCUGUCGUGGAAUCGCUCCAAAAUCAUCUUUGUCCAACAUUUCCAAUGUCAAUCAACUUGUACUAAUCAUCUGCUUCAUUCAGUUGAAAAUGCAAUUAAUUUAAGCACAAU
rnacentral:sRNA from 1 species